GUUGUUUCUUGGACACUGUCUGCAAAUUUUCCUUGUGGAUUUUGUCUGAAGUGGAAAAUAAAAUUACCUAUAGUUGUUGAAGCUCAUUUUCUGCAUAGCACCUGAAAAAACCUGCCGCCAUUAAACCCUUAGAAUAGAAAACCUAUUUUUAUAUAAAAAAUUACCCUUUGAUUUGAGAAUCAGUGGAAAUAAUUCAUAAGUUU
rnacentral:lncRNA from 1 species